rnacentral:rRNA from 1 species
AGAGUUUGAUCAUGGCUCAGAUUGAACGCUGGCGGUAUGCUUAACACAUACAAGUCGAACGGUAACAGUCCCUCACCUAGAAAUUUCUUAAAAAGAGAUUUGUAGGUGAGGGAGCUGACGAGUGGCGGACGGGUGCGUAAUGUAUAGGAAUCUGCCUGGUAGUGGGGGACAACUCGGAGAAAUUCGAGCUAAUACCGCAUAAGCCCUACGGGGGAAAACGGGGGAUCUUCGGACCUCGUGCUAUUAGAUGAGCCUAUAUUAGAUUAGCUUGUUGGUGAGGUAAUGGCUUACCAAGGCGACGAUCUAUAGCUGGUCUGAGAGGAUGAUCAGCCACACUGGGACUGAGACACGGCCCAGACUCCUACGGGAGGCAGCAGUGGGGAAUAUUGGACAAUGGGCGAAAGCCUGAUCCAGCAAUACCGCGUGUGUGAAGAAGGCCUGAGGGUUGUAAAGCACUUUCAAUUGGGAGGAAUACCUAAUAGUUAAUAGCUAUUAGAUUGAC